ensembl:lncRNA
GGACGAAGCUGUGCGCGCAUCCUCUCGGGGUGGUCUAGUGGAAUCAAGUAGAUUGUUGAGACCUGCUUCUUUGCUGGUGGCAAAGGGAAGCUCGCCUCCGACUGUUCCGGCUCGUUUCUGCGACCAGCCUUUGAUCACAUCUAUAGUAAAUGUCGGAGAUCACAUCUAUAGUAAAUGUCGGAGAAGGCAAUGGCACCCCACUCCAGUACUCUUGCCUGGAAAAUCCCAUGGACGGAGGAGCCUGGUGGGCUGCAGUCCAUGGGGUCGCUAACAGUCGAACACGACUGAGCGACUUCACUUUCACUUUUCACUUUCAUGCAUUGGAGAAGGAAAUGGCAACCCACUCCAGUGUUCUUGCCUGGAGAAUCCCAGGGACAGGGGAGCCUGGUGGGCUGCCGUCUAUGGGGUCGCACAGAGUCGGACACGACUGAGGCAACCAGCAGCAGCAGCGGCAUAGUAAAUGGAUAUCAUUACCUUCGAUGACCUGAUCUGAUGAAUCCUUAGAACAGCUCCCCUCGACUCCACAGACACCUGUGAGGAGAGAGAAUACCUCAUCUGUCGGUGUUUUCUUGGCAUCCAGCGCAUAAAUGCCAUUUGGGAAUGCACAGAGGAGAGCGCGGCCAAUCCCUUAACCGCGAGGCACGGCUUCAUUUGCCGUUUCACCAACGGCCAGCAGACGGCGCCCGACUCUCCUUGGGAUCAACCGGCGCCUCAACAGUUGAGGGAAACUCAAGCUCAGGUUCUCCGACAUUCUGAGAUUCCCAGUGUGAAAAGCCAGCUUAGUUUUUCGCUGUUCCCACUGUGUGACACCCCGGGGGCUGAGGAAAUAGUUAAAAGCGAAGCUUACAUGGCCCUUCCAUGGCGCUUAGCAGACAACAAGGAUGUGCUGGUGUCAGAAGCUUCGCUGGGAUGGUGCAGGGGACUUGGCCACCUAAAACCUUGCUCUCUCUCCACCUCAUUUUCCCAAGUGCGGUGGGACUACAAGGGGAACGUCUUCACCACUGACAGCUUGGGGUCCUUUGGACCUGUGAUCAGGCCAUCCAGCCAGUGUGAAGAUGAUGUGGGGCAGGAGUCCCUCCCUGAAGGCUAAUCCCUUGGAACAUGGAGGCUCCCAGCGUUCACUUUUCUGCCUGGGUUUCUAAGACCUGAAUGGGAAGACGUUCUGCGUCUUCACUCCCUCAGGAGAUCAGGAGGACACCUGUGGCCUCCGUACCCUGGAUCCUGCGGAGACUGGACCCCGACACCCUAGGGUGUGGAGCUCAGGCAGUCAGCCCACACUCACUUCACAGUAGUCAGCACCUGUGCCAGACACCCCAGGCUUCCCAGACGCCUCUCUGGAGCUCUGAGAGGAAGGGAGGUUUGGGAACCUUAAACGGGCUGCCUGUCCCCUCAGCCGCUUCCCUGUGUGGUCCCACUGCCCAGACCAGAGCUGGGGGUCUCGUCCCUUCUGUGCUUGUGGCCCGAGGGUGGAGGAGGGCCUGCUGUGACGUCCUCACAGGACCUUGACCCCUAGCCGUGUGAAUUGCAGGUGCUGAGGGAACAGGACAAAGUCUGGUUUAUCUAUGUCUUGGGUGGAGUCUGAUACUUCUCACCAGUAGAAGCUUCCAAUAUGUUAUGUAACAUUUUCAUGAAUCCUUCCAUACAUUUAAUAAGAACCAGUGAAAUUUACAGUCACUGGACCUCCGAGCAGGUGCAGUGAGGAGGCCUAGAAACGGGCGGUGUGAAGGGCCCCUGUCACCACCCCCACGAUCCAGUGUGAGGACCCAAAGUAGAUUCUCAGGAAGGCUGAAGAGGCCCCUUCCAGGCUCUGAGCCCCCAGCCCGAUACCCUAAACCUCUAGCCCCAACCUGAGCCCAGGCAGGGCACAGCACAGGCAUAUUUGGAGAAACAAAUACUUCUUCACCUCCCUGCUCAUGGUCAUGGGGACACUCCUCUUCAAAGGAUACCUGGCCCAGCCCUCUAAAUGGAGCAGAUGGUAUUCUGGAGACUCGGCCUCUGGAGGAAUGAGGGGUGGGUAAGGAAGAUUCUGUGCUGGUGAUUGAAACCUCCCCCAGAUCCAGGAGGCAAAGCUGGAGUGGCCAGGGGCUUGGUGGCCACGGCCCUUUGCUCAUGGAGGCAGCUCUGAUUCCUAAGAGUGUGAUUUUUGCACACAGCCUGACCUGUCUUGGUUUGGACCAUGGCUCUUUUUGAUCUUUCCCUCUUCUCAGUGGAUGAAGAGCCUAAAAAAGAAUUUCAGUUUGUAUUUACUUUACCCUUGGACAGAACCUAUAGUAGAACCAGGGCUGGGCCCAGGGGUCUCUGCUGACUCUGAGUCUGGUCCCAGAGCCUCUUCUCUGGGAGGCAGGAGGCCAUGGGGAGCAGAAGGCGGUUCCCUCCAACACAGGUGUUGACCCCGGAGCCUCACGGUUCUCACCAUUCAUGUCCUUGUCUUAACCUUCCUUGUGCAGACUUGGGGAUCGUGACCUUGAGGCUGCUCUAGUCUGCAGAUGUGGAUUUGAGGUCCUGCCCUGUUUAGGGAAGGAGGGAGCCCCGUAAUCACAAGAUCUUUGUUUAUUGGUUCUGCCCUGGGCUGUGAGUACAUCCUUGAGAAGACUUUUCUCAUUGCAUUAGCUCCACAAGCUACCCCAGUUUUGUACUUUAGCAUCCGAUCCAUGAUUAACUUGUUCCUCAGGUUUUAACACCCACCUUGUCUUGGAAACACCUCUGAUUCUGGUGGGUCUGGCUCUGCACAGAGUCAGACACAUUCUUGGCUCCAUGAUGUGCAUCUUCUGGAUCCCACCCCACCCCCCAAACUCCAGCUGAGAAGCCCCUGGACAAGAGCUCAGGUAUUUGGAAGGUGCCCUUCAGUCAGUCUGCAGUCAGGCAGGGGGGUGUUGUUCCCAGGACCCUCUUCUCAUCCCCUGUCCUUCACCAGGCUCUCUUCCUCCUGAGGCGGGAGUGCCGAGUCCUGCUUCUCUUCUUUGAUCCACUCCUGCUGAGGGUCUCCUGAGGUGUCUCUCUCUCUCGAAUUUGUGACAGAUUCUUGUCCUGUUUGCUGUCCUCCCCACACAUAGGUACCUCUGGGAGCCUGGAGCAAUAUGAGGGUCCCUGUCCUGUCCAUGUGACCCAUUUAAGUGUUGGAAUAACUGAGAUGGGGACAUGUUUGCGAGAACGUGGACCCACAGAGAGUGUGGGGUCAGGUGAGGAGAGAGGCCCCAGAGAUCAAGUGGAUGUUAACGCAGUCUCCAUUUCAGAAUCUGGCUGUGGUCUGGGGUGGAAGGGAACAGGCAGGUGUGGGGUGACAGGUGGUCCUCGAUCAGCGUGGCCUCAGUGGGAAGGCUGGAUCUGGGCAGAGCUGCUCCCCUGGUGGAGGUGAUGACUCAGUGAGGGGGCGGGUGGGCAGGGAGCUGGAUGGUAGAGCAAGUGAGGAUGCUGUGGGUGCAAGGGGACACACACGGAGCCCACUCCCCCUGCCUCCCCAGAGUGGAAUGUCUGCUUCCGCGGUUGCUCUGACACUCUCAGAGCAGAGAUCUGCUGUAAGUCACCAGAUAGCGACCCUCGAGAGAAGGCUGGUGCAGUUGCCUGCAGGAGACGGGAGCUGCCAGGUGCGUCCUUGCUAAUGGCACGGACAGCUCACCCAGCAGAGACCCAGGUCCCCCAUCUCUGUCUCCAUGACCCCCUUCAUCCCUCCCCCAAGCCUGGCUUCCCAGCCCCUUCCCAGUGUUUCUCCCAUUGGUGUCAAGGCCAGCCUGCUCCAGAACACCGUGUCUAGAUGGGAAGGGGGACGCCUGAGUCACGGAGAAGGAUCAGCUUUGCUCAGAGAAGGCUGAUCCUGUGCUGCCCUGGGGUCUCUCGGGGUCUCUCCAGGUAGGGAAGCUCUGGCCUAGGUCCAGUGCUGAAGGCAGGAGCAGGGGCUCUGUCAGGAGGCUUCGGGACGCGGGGCAUUUGGAAGGUAGCCCCCAUCGCCACUGUUGUGCCCGGGGACCCAGCCUGUUCCCCUGGAGUCAGGAUCUAAUGCUUCCUGAGAAUUCCCGCUGACUCCAGUGUUGGUUUGAAAUAGAGGCAACAAGAGAAGGAAAACAAGCGCCGCUGAAUUUUGGGUCCUGCCCAGAUCCCAUCACUCACUCAGGCUGUGGAUAUUUCCCACGUGUCAGAAAACGUAGCUGUUGUUGAAUUGAGUAAUGAGACAGGAAGAGCCCCACCCCACAGAAAAAUGAAGAGAAGAACCCUGUACCCCAGUGUGGUUGAAGGCAGAGGACUGCACACAGCCCCACCUUGUCUGAGGCUCACCUCUGCUCAGGCGUGAGGCUUAGAGAAUGUGUGUCCCUGAGCGGGCCCAGGACCUCCUCUCAGAGCUGUGGCACAGGCACAGGCGGUUAUUGACUGAGCGGAGGGGGCAGAGGGACCCUGACGGGAAGGCCACUCUGCCGCCAUCUCGCCUGUCAGCCCCCACCCCUCCUGGCCUCUUGGCUCAUCUGCCUUCUCUGUGGUUUCCUCUUUCCCACCUGCCAUCUUUCAGUAUAAGUAUGCGCCCCACACACACCUCGUGCAGUUUCUCCUGAGCCCACUGGAAGUCCAAUAUUAGGUGGUUCCCCUUUCCUCUGUGGAGGUUGAAUAACUUUCAGAAUUUUCCUAUUCCCAUGACGAUAGUAACAAAACACACCUUUGGAAAAUGCAAUCCAGGGACCCAGUGCCACUGUCUUCAGAGCACAGGGUGACAGAUGUUCACACUGAACACACUUGGAAGCCACCAGCCGUGUCACAGACUGGUUUUCCCCAACCCUGGUUGCCUCCUUGGUGUUCCCUGCAGCCACUUGUCACUAGGCCCAGCUCUCUGAGCCUCCGCAGGUGACCUCUCUUGACCUCUAGCAGCACUGGUUAUCCCCAGAGGCACAGUUUUAUGCCUUUCUUGUACUGUCAUUUUCCCCUCACAUUAACCCUCUGAGACCAAUGUGAUGGUGGUUCCCACACUACAGAGGAGGAAUGGAGAGAACUCAGGGCGAUGACUUGGGACAAGGCGGGUGAGGGUCCAACAGGGACCCCACCGCAGUGCCAAUUUCUUCACCUACUAACUCUGCUGGGGAACGUAGCCUGGCAGCCUGGACACCAGGCCUGUUCAGUGCAGGAGAGGCGCUGAAAUCCGGCAGCGACCUGCAGCAGUCCUGGGGGUGGUUCACACGCACUUUUGAGCUCUCUCCUCUUUGGGUGGUUUGGAUCCUUGGCAGGUAUGAGGCUGUGAGCAGGGAAGGGACUGUCUUAAGGCCACUGCUACUGAGUGGCAGUGGCAGUUUUGAGCUUGGGCCAGUGAGGGACCAUUGUUUUUUCUCCGUUUGAUGAAAGAGAGCAGGCAGUGUGGCCAUCUGGGGUUACAUGUCCUCUUUCCAGAAGCCUUGCAUCUACAUAUGGUUGGGGCUGAACUUGAGUGAAGUCCUAGAGGGCAGUGUCUGUACUGCAUACCAGAUGCUACGUGAACCUGGAAUCCUCCUUUGCUGUUACCCCUUUGGAAAAAUUGGAAAAGCUACCUAUGAUAUUCAGUUAUCAUACACACAUGUACUAUGGUUGUAAAAUACUAUACACAG